CGGCGGUAAAAGCUCAGUCAGUUCCCGGCCGUCCCAGAAGUUGUUGCAGAGUCGCUUCCGGGGCGCUGUGAGGUGAAGGAGCACCCCGAAUGGGUCGCAGCCGCAGCCGCUCCCCACGGAGGGAGCGUAGGCGGUCCCGGUCCGCUUCCCGGGAGAGAGAACGCAGGCGCCGAGAAAGGUCCCCCCGGUCCCGCGAGAGAGAUCGGAGAAGGAGCCGCUCCCGAUCCCCUCACAGAAGACGCUCCAGAUCCCCAAGACGACACAGAUCCACAUCUCCUUCCCCUUCUCGACUGAAAGAAAGAAGAGAUGAGGAAAAGAAAGAAGCAAAAGAAACGAAGAGCAAAGAACGUCAGAUUACUGAGGAAGACUUAGAGGGCAAAACAGAGGAAGAAAUAGAAAUGAUGAAAUUAAUGGGAUUUGCUUCCUUUGACUCCACAAAAGGGAAAAAGGUGGAUGGCUCUGUAAAUGCUUAUGCCAUAAAUGUGUCUCAGAAGAGGAAGUACAGGCAGUACAUGAAUCGAAAAGGGGGAUUCAACAGACCUUUGGAUUUCAUUGCAUGAGAAUUGAAAAUGUUGAAGAAUGAUGUUCUUUUCCCUCAUCUUAGUGAGAAGAGUGGAUUUUGUAUUUUUGUGUUUCAAUGCAUCAAAAACAGGAUCACAGUCCUUCCUCCUUGUAAACCACGUGGCGCAUGCCUGAGCCAGGAGCCCACCGGUCACUUGCCGGGCUGCCAGCAUCGCUCUCCCUUCAGAGGGAUUCGCUGCGGGGCCCUCAGCCGCCUGGAUCCCGGGAGGCUUUGGAACCUCCGGAGCCGCGGCCACCAGACCCAGAUCUCCGGCCCUGAACCCAAGCGGGGCAGACUGCAUAGGCGAGGCGCGGUUUCAGCCUUACACUCGAGGGACGCCCGGCAGGUACCCGGAACUUUUCCCGGGGGACAGGUCUCGGCAACAGGUCCGAGGCGGGGAGGGGCCGGGUGGAGUCGAGCUCCGCGACGGCCGGUGAAUCAGCGCUGCCGGGCGCCCGGGUCGCCCUGCCAGCUGAAGCCAGAUCCCGGGAGGAGUAGCCUGGCUGCUGACCACCAGCCACUCAGAGAUCGCUGGGCCUGGAGAAGGGUGAUGUCAUCGUAGCUGGGAGGUUUCGGAAUGCUUCGCCAAUGGGAGACUGGCGAAGUGGCUUGCUUUCUGUAGCUCUUGGCCAAUACUAACAAAGCAAAAGGGGGCCCGGUUGUCGGUAUAGAACCAAUGGAAAACAGGGAAGGAGCACGAGGCGGAGUUGCGAAUUCUG